rnacentral:rRNA from 1 species
UACGUAGGGUGCAAGCGUUGUCCGGAAUUAUUGGGCGUAAAGAGCUUGUAGGCGGUUUGUCGCGUCUGCUGUGAAAUUUCGGGGCUCAACCCCGAACUUGCAGUGGGUACGGGCAGACUAGAGUGAUGUAGGGGAGACUGGAAUUCCUGGUGUAGCGGUGAAAUGCGCAGAUAUCAGGAAGAACACCUAUGGCGAAGGCAGCACUCUGGGACGGUACUGACGCUGAGACGCGAAAGCGUGGGGAGCGAACAGG